rnacentral:rRNA from 1 species
UACAGAGGGUGCGAGCGUUAAUCGGAUUUACUGGGCGUAAAGGGCGCGUAGGCGGUUUGAUAAGUGUGAUGUGAAAGCCCCGGGCUUAACCUGGGAAGUGCAUUGCAAACUAUCAAACUGGAGUGCAAGAGAGGGUGUUGGAAUUUCCGGUGUAGCGGUGAAAUGCGUAGAGAUCGGAAAGAACGUCAAUGGCGAAGGCAAACACCUGGCUUGUAACUGACGCUGAGGCGCGAAAGCGUGGGGAGCAAACAGG